rnacentral:tRNA from 6 species
CGCGGGGUGGAGCAGCCCGGUAGCUCGUCAGGCUCAUAACCUGAAGGUCACAGGUUCAAAUCCUGUCCCCGUAACCA